UACAGCCAUAUCACAUUGAAACACCGGUUUCUGUAUGAUCACUGAAGUUAAGCAACAUCGAGAUUGGUCAGUAUCUGGAUGGGUCUCCAUUUGGGAAUGCUAUGUGCUAUA